CCUACGGGUGGCAGCAGUGGGGGAUAUUGCUCAAUGGGGGGAACCCUGAAGCAGCGACGCCGCGUGGGGGAUGAAGGGUUUCGGCUCGUAAAGCCCUUUUGUUAGGGAAGAAGAUGACGGUAUCUAACCAAUAAGCCCCGGCUAACUACGUGCCAGCAGCCGCGGUAAUACGUAGGGUGCAAGCGUUAUCCGGAUUAACUGGGUGUAAAGGGGGCGUAGACGGCAUUGCAAGUCAGUAGUGAAAGCCUUUGGCUCAACCCUGGAACUGCACUUGAAACUGCAAGUCUGGAGUACAGGAGGGGUAGGCGGAAUUCCUGGUGUAGCGGUAAAAUGCGUAGAUAUCAGGAGGAACACCGAUGGCGAAGGCGGCCUGCUGGACUGUGACUGACGUUGAGGCCCGAAGGCGUGGGGAGCAAACAGGAUUAGAUACCCGAGUAGUC
rnacentral:rRNA from 1 species